UACGGAGGGUGCAAGCGUUAUCCGGAUUUACUGGGCGUAAAGGGCGCGUAGGCGGCGUGGUAAGUCACUUGUGAAAUCUCUGAGCUUAACUCAGAACGGCCAAGUGAUACUGCUGUGCUAGAGUGCAGAAGGGGCAAUCGGAAUUCUUGGUGUAGCGGUGAAAUGCGUAGAUAUCAAGAGGAACACCUGAGGUGAAGACGGGUUGCUGGGCUGACACUGACGCUGAGGCGCGAAAGCCAGGGGAGCAAACGGG
rnacentral:rRNA from 1 species